GGCUUAUCUAAACUUUGUCUUUGGGACAACACUGCGCCUAUCCCUGUUUCAGACGCAUCAACUUCAAGUAAAAAGGGUAGAGAGGUAUCAGGAUGAACUAAUACAGGUGCUGAGGCAAAAGACUGUUUGAGCGUUUCGAAAGCAGCUAAAGCCUCAGUAGACCAGGUUUUGGUAUCGGCUCCUUGUUUGGUCAUAUUAGUGAUAGGAGCGAUAACAGAGG